GGGGGUAAACGGACAGAGCCCGUGAAUCCGGGCGGCGGAAUUCAGGGCGGCCGGGCAACCGAUCGUCUGAUUUUUCCGUCGCCGGCUGCCCGCGAGGGUGGCGUGGAUGUCGCGAUCCGUUCGACGUCGGUCUUUACGUCCGGAAGAACCUGCCGCGGAGCUCGCGUGUCGGAGGGCCGCGUUCGUCUUUCGGGGCGGGCGUGUGUCACCGGCGCGUGAACGCGGCGGACCUCUGGCCGACUCGUCGGACGGUACGAGGUAGUGCACGGUGGCCGGGCGUUGUUACCUCGCGUACACGACGCCCCGGUGCCGAUCAGCGACGAUUCUUCGGGCCUCUUUCCGACCCGUCUUGAAACACGGACCAAGGAGUCUAACGUGCGCGCGAGUCGCGGGGUAUCGUGCGUGGGACGCGUUCCUUCGCGGGAGCGCGUACCGCGUUCGUUACGCGUACUAAACCCGUCGCAUCCGGCGUCGCGCGGUCGCUUCGGUGGCCGCGUGUUCGUCGGGCUAGCAAAAGGCGUAAUGAAGGUGAAUUCACCGGACUCGUGCCGGUGUGCGGGAUGAUGGCGAACCGGAACACGUUUCGAGGCUUCGACCUCGACCGGGAGCUCGCAAUCCCGAGGCGUUCCAACGGCCCGCUUCGGCGGACCGGGGCGCACUCGUAGCGUGUGCGUUGGUACCCGAAAGAUGGUGAACUAUGCCUGGUCAGGAUGAAGUCAGGGGAAACCCUGAUGGAGGUCCGUAGCGGUUCUGACGUGCAAAUCGAUCGUAUGAACUGGGUAUAGGGGCGAAAGACUAAUCGAACCAUC
rnacentral:rRNA from 1 species